rnacentral:lncRNA from 1 species
AUGCUCUGCACUGCAGCCAUGUGCUCCUCGUACUGCUCAGGUCGCCGCCAGCAUUCACUGGUAACGAUUCUGAGGCUGAAGAGAGACCCAGGAGGAACUUCUAAACCUGGCUGCACGCCUAUUAGCUGUAAUGGACCUGCAAUGCACUUUUCCAAUCACAUCAGUGUGCGCGGAGCCAGUCUGACAUUGUGCUGGGCUUGGCGAGACGCAAGCACCAUCUCCGACACCUUCCCGGAGCAUCCCCUCGCCUCUCUUCUUCCGUCUCACCUGGCACGAACUCCUGGCACAGCAUGCAUUAUUACAGCCAUCGCUUUUGAUUAUAUCAUCCUCCGAGGUGAGUGCAGUGCUUGUGAAAGUCACCGGAGAAGUCGGCGCUGCCGGAGGAGCUCCCAGGGGCACCAGGAGACCUUCCUUGCCCGCUCCAGAGCUGCUCUGAGCACCCGUGCCUGCUGCAGGGGGAGGCAGAGCGCCCAGCAGACUUGUUCUCAUCCUCAUCUCCCCGUUUUCUGCCUGCACAGUACCCACGGAAGGGCCCUCCAGACAGGGAGUCCUCUGGUGCAGCCACCACUGACCAUCAGAGCUUUCCUGACACCAAAUUCUCCCAUUUCCACUUUCAAGCCCUUUUCGAACGUCAGCACAUUCCCUGAACUUGUGCUCCAUUUGCCUCCUCAAGCUUAUGAAUGGUCAUUGUGGAGGGGAAAGUGGCUGAAAAGUUCAUCAGCCUUUCCCCUUCACCUGGCAUUAACCCACGGGUGCAUCCAGCUUUACACAGCCCCUGGUGGUCCCUGCCUGCCCCAGGGCGGAUCCAGCUGUGGCUUCUGCCAUAUUCCACAUCCCACAUCCCACAUCCCACCUCUCACCUCUUACGUCUCAUGUCUCAUAUCUCUUAUCUUAUAGCUCACGUCUCAUACUUUGUGUUUCAUAUUUCGUAGUCACUUGUUAGAGGCUGAAUGAAAGAAAAUGGCUCAGCGUUGGUGAAACAGGCAAGAAGAAAGAAAAGAAGCGGUGUCAGUAUUGGUCUGAAAUGAUUUGUUUCAGCUUAGCACUGUUCUAAUCUUUUAAAACCUUUUUCCGAAUGUAUGCAGAAACCCAAGUGUAACUGCAUCACAAGCCACCUCCGUCCUUUAAAACAUACUGGAAUUAGAAAUCAUUUCCUUGCUGAAACUAUUCAGUGAAUCCUACAUGAAUUGUUGAUGGCCUCCAUGCGGUUAAGAAGCUGACAUUUUAAAGGAAAUUCGGUGUAAAGCAGGUUUGAAAAUUUCCAUUGAAAUUGUGGAUUCUUCCUCAUUUCAUUUUGCCUUCCCCGCAGCUUUCUGCAGUUUCUAAGGGCCCCAAGGAAAAACAAAAUAAAGCAAACCAAAACCAAACGUCUGAAGCCA